rnacentral:rRNA from 1 species
UGAGUACGAGAUGCUACGGCAUCGAAGCAGUCUAUGUCAUACUUCCAAGAAAAGCUUGCACUGUCAGAAACAGAUAAUGCCUGUACCAUAACCGACACAGGUGGGUAGGUAGAGUAUACUAAGGGGCGCGAGAUAACUCUCUCUAAGGAACUCGGCAAAAUGACUCCGUAACUUCGGGAGAAGGAGUGCCUUAUUUUUAAGGUUGCAAUAACAAGAUCCAAGCAACUGUUUACCAAAAACACAGGUCUCCGCUAAGUCGUAAGACGAUGUAUGGGGGCUGACGCCUGCCCAGUGCCAGAAGGUUAAAGAAGUCGGUUAGCAUUCGUGAAGCUGGUAACUGAAGCCCUGGUGAACGGCGGCCGUAACUAUAACGGUCCUAAGGUAGCGAAAUUCCUUGUCGGGUAAGUUCCGACCCGCACGAAAGGCGUAAUGAUUUGGAUACUGUCUCGGAGAGGGGCUCGGUGAAAUAGACUUGUCUGUGAAGAUGCGGACUACCUGCACCUGGACAGAAAGACCCUAUGAAGCUUUACUGUAACUUGAAAUUGAAAUUGGACUUUAUUUGCGCAGUAUAGGUGGGAGGCGUUGAAAAUAUUCUUGCGGGAAUAUUGGAGCCAUCAGUGAGAUACCACUCUUGUAAUGUUAGAUUUCUAACUUUAUAUCAUUAUCUGGUUAAAGAACAGUUUCAGGCGGGCAGUUUGACUGGGGCGGUCGCCUCCCAAAUGGUAACGGAGGCGCACAAAGGUUUCCUCUGAACGGGUAGAAAUCGUAUCUAGAGUGUAAAGGCAUAAGGAAGCUUGACUGUGAGACCUACAAGUCGAGCAGGGACGAAAGUCGGUCUUAGUGAUCUGACGGUGCUGAGUGGAAAGGCCGUCACUCAACGGAUAAAAGUUACUAGGAUAACAGGCUGAUCUCCCCCAAGAGUUCACAUCGACGGGGAGGUUUGGCACCUCGAUGUCGGCUCAUCGCAUCCUGGGGCGGUAGUACGUCCCAAGGGUUGGGCUGUUCGCCCAUGAAAGCGGUACGCGAGCUGGGUUCAGAACGUCGUGAGACAGUUCGGUCCAUAUCCGGUGUAGGCGUUAGAAUAUUGAGAGGAGCCUUCUUUAGUACGAGAGGACCGAGAAGGACAUACCUCUGGUGUACCAGUUAUCGUGCCAACGGUAAACGCUGGGUAGCUAUGUAUGGAGUGGAUAACCGCUGAAAGCAUCUAAGUGGGAAGCCCACCUCAAGAUAAGUAUUCUCACC